rnacentral:rRNA from 1 species
ACGUAGGUGGCAAGCGUUGUCCGGAAUUAUUGGGCGUAAAGCGCGCGCAGGCGGUCCUUUAAGUCUGAUGUGAAAGCCCACGGCUCAACCGUGGAGGGUCAUUGGAAACUGCCGGGCUUGAGUAUGGGAGAGGUGAGUGGGAUUUCCGGUGUAGCGGUGAAAUGCGUAGAUAUCGGAAGGAACACCUGUGGCGAAAGCGGCUCACUGGACCAUUACUGACGCUGAGGCACGAAAGCUAGGGGAGCAAACAGGA